rnacentral:lncRNA from 1 species
AGAUUGUGAGAAACGCAUUCACCCAUUCAAACCCAAACAAUGGACUCGGAGUCAAGAAGAACAGCAGAAGCGAGACUUUCUAUGACGGUCUUGCAAGAUGGGGUGUCUGGUAGGCAGGCACACCCAGUGCCUGUUACAACAGAUUGUGGCCAUAAUAGGAUGGUACAAAAUAUGUUUCUAGAGAAACUGGCAUUAACUAAACCAUACUCUGCAAAACCCAAGCAAAAGAUAAGGACAACAACAUAUGGACUUUUACAACAAAUGAGUUCACAUGACUUUUUUUUACAUUCUUUAGCUAUGAAUAGAUGAAAACAGCAGAAUUCAUGGACAAUGGGGAUAUAAAAGGUGGCAAUACAAAGUGGAAUAGAUAAUAAAUGUUGUGACUCGAAGAAAAUGGAGUAAAUUGAACGUGAGUUCACAGAUAACAACACCGAAGAGAAAAGAGUGACUUAUCAGAAUCUUGCAAUUUGUCAAAGAUUGUUUAGCCUGUAAGUCAACAUUUUGCAUAAAUUUGAAAAUUAAACUAGCUCUUACCUCCUAAUGCACCAUAAUGUAAAUUCAUUUUAAUUAUAUUUGAUUGAUUUAUUGACUCAUCCUCCGUACAAACAUUCAUUCAUUAUUAAUUAGUUCAAAGCAUAUUUAUUUAAAAAAUAAAACCUAUCAUAAGCCAGGUAGUUUGCUAAGUAUGGGGAGGCAUCAGCAGACAAGGCAGAAUAGAUUCUUGUCCUGAUUUCAGAUAGCCAUAAAAGUUGUGAUGAAAUGAAAUUAUGUGAUAGAGAUAAACGGAAGGGGAAGUCGUCGCUGUUAGGUUUCUUUUAUGGUCAUCUGUCCUACGAAUGUUUGUGUCCCAUGAAAAUUUGUAUGUUGAAAUCCUAACCCCCAAGUUGAUGGUAUUGUGUUGGUGCAAAAGUAAUUGCGGUUAAUUAUUUUCAACGGCAAAAACCACAAUUACUUUUGUACCAAUGUAAUAUUAGGAGGCAGGGUUUUCAAGAGGUAUUAGAUUAUGAGUGUGGAUCCCUCAUGGAUGGGAUGAGCACCUUCAUAAAACAGGUUUCAGGGAGCGUGUUUGCUCCUUCCAGCAUGUCAGGAUGCACAAGGAAAUGUGCCUUCACCAGCUUAUGUAUCUGCUAGCUCCUCUAUCUUUCACUUCCCAGCCUCUGGAACUGUGAGUAUUAAUAAAUUUCUGUUGUUAUAAGCUACGCAGACUAAGGUGAUUUGUUGUAGCAGCCUGAAUGGACUAAGACAACCUGCUUAAGCCAGGCCCUGGGAUUCCCAGUGUCUUUUUUUCAUACUAGUUAGAGUCAUCCAACUGAGGAAUCUGGAUAAAUCAGAGUGAAACACAAUCCAUUAUUCUCUAAAUGUUGCCAUGGUUAGACACAGUAGAAGAUAGAGGCAUAGGAGGCUGGAUAAUUGUAGCUUGAGAUGGCAGCUACACAGUAGCUAUAUCUGCCCAUAGACCUCACCAUAAGUUUGCCUUCCCAGUCCCACUAUAACAGUUUCAUGUGCUUGGUAUUUCAAUUUCCUUGCACGCUCUGAUUUUUCAGUCAUGAUCAGCACUUUAGAGAAAGCAAUUAGUGACUAUUUCUCUGAUCCUCUGAGCCCUCCUUCCAGUUUACUUCCUCAGCUGCUUCUACAUGUCUGUAAAAUACAGCUUUUAUAAUUAAAUUAUUUAUUACCAUAUUACCCCAUAGUGUUUCCAUUUCCAGACUGAGAGACUGUCUCUAAGAAGAUGCCAUUUAAACUGAACCUGUAGGAAGAAAUAAAAAUCCAGGUAUAAAGACAAUUAAAUGAAGACAGGGUACAUUUAAUUUUCAGAGAAAUUAAAUACUUGUGAAGAAGACUUUUUGAAGGAGGAAUGAGGGGAAUGGGCUAUGAGAGAGAUUAUUCAACAAAACCCCAAGUAUGAUAAGAAGAAAAUUUGGAGGAUAUGGUUUUCUUCUUUCUGUAAUUGAUUUGAUUGGAAAGUAUUUGGCAUUAUAUCUAAGCACUGUGAAAUAAGUAAUAAAGUUUAAAACUUUCUUGAACAUAAUAAACAGACUCAGCAAGCAUACUGGACUUUCCACUUUCUCCUUCCUGCUCUGUGCCCCCGAUGGCUGACCUGUGUGGACCAUAUCAGUGGGCUUUCUUGUUCUCUAGCUCCUAGUUGAGUUUGAUUAGUAAUAAGCAGUGACAAUAGCUCUGAGGGGAGGAGGAGAGUGAAGCCUGGUUCCUUCCUUGUAGGAUGGCUGUGUUCUGUGACUAAAAGUCACAAUUCCUAUUAGAUGCAUCUUACAACACUGACCUCCUGUCACCUUUGAGCGGUACAGGCAACUGGUUGUUACUUGCUUGGGAAUUAAAUUUUCCUAAUGUGGCUUUCCUUUCACCUUUAUGUCAAAAGAUCUAUCUAUUAAGCUUUCCUUAAAUUACCCAAUGUGAGUAGUUGCUGGGAUCCUAACUGAUAGGGUCAGAGAUACUGAAUGAAUUUUGUAACAGAAGCACAGAUGUGUACAGUUUAAAUGUUUAAAGUACAAGUAAUCUUGGCAAUUAUUACAUGUCUGAAUUAAUGCACAGAACUUCCUUAUUUUUUGAAAUCAAAUCUCAUGUUAUAUACACAAUAUGAUUUAGCUUCUGUGCUGAUAAACUUCAGUAUUCAUCAAUAUGAAAUUAUUUUUGUAAGACCAAAAUACACGUGUCAAGAAAUUCAAGAACAAAAUAAAUGUACAAUAUCUAGUCCCAGUGAACAAUUCAAUAUCCACAACAGUAGAAAUACAGAUGAUAGGUGUAAAAUGAGCCAAAAAAGAUAAAAAUAAGAAAACAAAGUCGAUCAAUAUUAAUCCAAAUAUAACAAUUUUUUCAUCCACCACUUGAAGUUGGAUGGAGAGAAUUGACCACCUAUAUUCAAACUACUGUGACAAUUAUUAAAAAACAGUUUAGAACAAGGAAAAAGAGAUAUAAUAUUACCUUGAAUAUAUUACUUCAAUAAAUUUUAUACAGUAUGUAUUCACUGUGUAAAAUAUAUAUAAGAAAAUAUAUAUAAAUUAUUAAGAUUUUAUAUUGUAUCAUGUCCAUUAAUUUCACUUAGAAAAAAUGUGGGUCUUUUGUUUUGCUUGGAUUCUAAUAUGUUCAUAAUACUAUAUGUUUUUAAGUCCUAGAAAUUUCCAAAAGAUAAAACUGAUAAGGACAAGUAUACUUUCUAAAGUGUAAAGGCGUUUAAAAAUGACAUUAAAAAAUUGAGCCAAAGAAGAGACAAAAGAGGGAGGCAUCUUUAGAUUCAUGUUUUAGGUCAAUAAGGUAAAUCAAUUAUAUAGCAGAGUGAUAAUUUAAAAUCAAGCUUUGGUAUCAUUUAUGAUGCAACUCAGGCCUUAGUCAGAAUUGAACAAUCAGUCUAGCUACCACAAUGCACAGUUUCCAAGUCUACCCAGCUUAAAGCAUACCAGAUGAUGAUGAUGAUAAUGACGAUGAUGAUGAUCAUGAUGAUUACUACUUUAAUCUACUUCUUUUAAAACCUACUUAAGAAUCACUUUGUUUAAAUGUGUUCUUUGAAUUAAUACUGGGGUCUUGCCUUCCUAUUCAUAGUUAUAUUUCCCAUUUCAAUUCACAUACUUGUUAUCUAUUUGCUCUCUGAUUUUAAACUUGCUGAGCCUUUGGAUUACUUACGAUACUUCUAUGUUAAAGCUUUAAGCUAUCUCUGUUGUUUGUACCAAACAUUUUGUUAACAUUUUUGAUAGUGUUGAUGAUGAAAAUAAAAUUUCACACGUGUGUGCUAAACCAUGACCAAGGGAAGAAAUAAAAGAGAUGCUGUUUAUGAUUCUAGAGUGUCUGUUGUUGAAAUAGGCCAUAUGUGUUGCUGUGACUCGUUUAUUAGGAUGUAUUCAUUAGAAUGAGUAUGUCUUUUUUGUCAUUCAUAGAAGUUGAAAGAAAGAGAGAAGAAACUGGUUGCAAGAAGUAGCUUCGACUUGCUACACAUGAUUCUUUUCUGAAUUGGAAAAGAUUUGGUAAAAGGUAGAGAUGCA